CUGGCGCACGGCGCACGGGUGCGUAACACGUGGGCAAUCUGCCCUCGGAUGGGGGAUACCCCCGCGAAAGCGGGACUAAUACCGCAUGAAAUUCCGAAGACCUCGGUCUUUGGACUCAAAGCCCGCAAGGGCGUCUGAGGAGGAGCCCGCGCCCGAUUAGCUAGUUGGUGAGGUAACGGCUCACCAAGGCAAUGAUCGGUAGCCGGUCUGAGAGGAUGGCCGGCCACACUGGAACUGAGACACGGUCCAGACUCCUACGGGAGGCAGCAGUGGGGAAUAUUGCGCAAUGGGCGAAAGCCUGACGCAGCGACGCCGCGUGGGGGAUGAAGCUUUUCGGAGUGUAAACCCCUUUCGACCCGGACGAAUGACCCGCAAGGGUUUGACGGUACGGGUAUAAGAAGCCCCGGCUAACUGCGUGCCAGCAGCCGCGGUAAUACGUAGGGGGCCAGCGUUGCUCGGAAUUACUGGGCGUAAAGGGUUCGUAGGUGGUGCGGCAAGUUGGGAGUGAAAUCUCUGGGCUUAACCCAGAGGCUGCUUUCAAAACUGCCGUGCUCGAGUGCGAGAGAGGUCAGUGGAAUUGCAGGUGUAGCGGUGAAAUGCGUAGAUAUCUGCAGGAACACCCGUGGCGAAGGCGGCUGACUGGAUCGCAACUGACACUGAGGAACGAAAGCUAGGGGAGCAAACAGGAUUAGAUACCCUGGUAGUCCUAGCCCUAAACCAUCAGGACUUGGGGUGGCCCGCGUAGGCGGGUCGUCCCGUAGCUAACGCGUUAAGUCCUGCGCCUGGGGAGUACGGUCGCAAGACUGAAACUCAAAGGAAUUGACGGGGGCCCGCACAAGCGGUGGAACAUGUGGUUCAAUUCGACGCAACGCGAAGAACCUUACCUGGGCUUGAACCGCUACUGAC
rnacentral:rRNA from 1 species